GGAGCUAGUUUGUACUAAAAUAAUGCAACAUUGAUCAAACAUUGCAGAGGGUAGAAAAGGAUACAUGUAAUACACUUAUAUUAUAGGACGGAGGGAGUAUUUUGGAAAAGGCAUGACCCAAAAAGUCGGAACCACAAGACUAUUUGGGAAAGAUUCCUCUGAAUUUACAUAUUUUAAGCAUGCGUUGACUUGCCACUCUAUGUUAGUAUGCUUCUGCCAAUUUAUUUUCCACAAGAUGAUCCAAAAAUGUUGUUCUAAUUUGAAAAAACCCUGAAAAAUAUUUGUGUUAGAUCCACAAAAUAGGAUUUCACAAGCACUCCAUCCAUUUAUCAUGGAAAUUAAAUAACUGAAUUAUGUGCUAUUUCAACCUUAAAAGAUCCAUCAUUUAAAAAAUGAUAGGAUGGCAAGUCAAUUAGCAAUCAGACAAUUAAAUACUACUAAACACUUUAAGUAAACAUACAGCAGACUUGUCUAUUUCAAUGUUGCCUCCAGCUUUUUUCAAUAAAAUUGCAGUGGAGUUUCAACCACAGGUCCUAUGAGUAAAUAGAAGUGAAAAGAAAUGGAUUUUAAAGGUGAAUAACUGGACGUCUGAACCAAGAAUGACUUGUAAAAGGAAAAUUAAUCAAACUUCAAUAGCAGGACUAUUAAUCUAUAUGUCGACUGCAGCUGCCAAUGGAACAACCCUCUUUUUAAGACGGGCAUGAAAACUGAAGAAUACAAAUGAAACCAUUGUUGUAGCUAUAUGAGCAGAUAUUAUGUCCUCUACAACAGCAGAGUUCUUGAAAGGUCAAAGGCCAGUACCUGGUUGUAUGAAUGAAAAUAAUGCGUUCAGUUGCCUAUGUUUAAAAUCAAAGCAGAGUCGCGAGGAGAAGGAACAUUUGUAGAACUGUAUUGUCCUAAAUGCAAGCAAUUGUAGGAUCUAUUUUUAUUUUCUUAAAUGGUUUAUCAAACAGAGAUAUCAGUCCUCUUAGUAUGAACCUUGAAAUUACUAAUGCAGAUACAAGUUCUAUGCUUACCCUGGUGCAGAACUUGCAAGGCUUUGAAGAGCGUGUCGUUGGGUAGGUUGUUGAUGGCCUGCGACUCCUGGGUAUCGGGGCCGCCUAGCCCGGCCACGACCGCCUGAUCAUGUUGCUGGUAAGGAACGGAUCCAUCAGCCGCUCCGCUACACUGAUGAUACCAUGUACGUCAACGGUACCAUGUACGUCAACGAGGGAGUGCAGGAGUACAGGCUACCGGGAGAAUAUUGAGUGGAGAGAGGGUAGGGAGAUUAGGUUACCUAGGCCGCCGUCCGUUGUCGCUGCCGCUGCGCCGUCCUGCUGGUCGCCCUUCCCGCGUCGAGCUCUUCCUGGAGACCUGGACUCUGCCAAACGGCUCCAAUCUAGUUUCACCCCAGUGCGUUGCCGCUCGAGGUCGUCGUAUGCGGGGAAGAUUGUUUGAGGUCGCCAUAGAUGGGGAAGGUCGCCUGGAUGAUGAAUGAUGAUGACGACUUUCUUGUCCGCUGCCGAAGCCGUCUCGGAGGAAGUGGAUGGAGGGUGGAGAUGGAGACGGGGCAGGGGUUGACGGCAAGAAAGAUGAGCCCAUGGGUGAGAGAAGGAGACGUUGGUCUCUCGCCUUGCCGUGUCCAGCGACGAAGGAAGAGGCCGCCGCGAUUCCUCUCGAGAAAGACAAGGGGCGGGAGCGAGGAAUUCGGGGAGUGGGAGGUCAGUACGUGGGUUGUUUCUUUUUCUUUUCGUAUUUUGUUCGUUCGUGCGGGGACGGGUGGAAGGAAUCGAAAAAAAGAUCGAAC
rnacentral:lncRNA from 1 species